rnacentral:rRNA from 1 species
UAGAUACCCUGGUAGUCCACGCCGUAAACGGUGGAUGCUGGAUGUGGGGACCAUUCCACGCUCUCCGUGUCGGAGCCAACGCGUUAAGCAUCCCGCCUGGGGAGUACGGCCGCAAGGCUAAAACUCAAAGAAAUUGACGGGGGCCCGCACAAGCGGCGGAGCAUGCGGAUUAAUUCGAUGCAACGCGAAGAACCUUACCUGGGCUUGACAUGUUCCCGACAGCCGUAGAGAUACGGUCUCCCUUCUCGGCGGGUUCACAGGUGGUGCAUGCUCGUCGUCAGCACCUGACGUGAGAUGAUGGGUUAAGUCACGCAACGAGCGCAACCCUCGCCCUGUGUUGCCAGCACGUCGUGGUGGGAACUCACGGGGGACCGCCGGGGUCAACUCGGAGGAAGGUGGGGAAGACGUCAGAUCAUCAUGCCCCUUACGUCCAGGGCUUCACGCAUGCUACAAUGGCCGGUACAACGGGAUGCGACCUCGUGAGGGGGAGCGGAUCCCUUAAAACCGGUCUCAGUUCGGAUUGGAGUCUGCAACCCGACUCCAUGAAGGCGGAGUCGCUAGUAAUCGCGGAUCAGCAACGCCGCGGUGAAUGCGUUCCCGGGCCUUGUACACACCGCCCGUCAAGUCAUGAAAGUGGGUAGCACCCGAAGCCGGUGGCCCAACCUUUUGGGGGGAGCCGUCUAAGGUGAGACUCGUGAUUGGGACUAAGUCGUAACAAGGUAGCCGUACCGGAAGGUGCGGCUG